rnacentral:tRNA from 1 species
AUAAAAAUAAGCUAAAAUUUCCAAGCUUAUGAACUCAUAUUUCAUAUAUAAAUUUAAUAUUUUUUUUAUA